rnacentral:lncRNA from 1 species
UUCCGUUGGUCGUCCCACAUUGCUUACAAGUGAGAGUAGUUAAUACCUUAUAAAAUUUAAUUGAUCCUUCCAUUUAGAAGUUAGUUACUAGGUGGAUUUUAAUUUUGAACUUUUAGUGGUUUUGGUUAUAAACUGAUUGUGGCCAAAUCUAUGUCAAAUUACAAUCAGAGCAGUUCGAAUCUUUAGGUAUGAGCAUGACGUCCGGCUCCAAAGCAAAAGAAAAUGAAGAUGAGAGAAACCCAUUUUUUAUUGGAGUUACAAGCUGAGUUUUAGUAAGCUUGAUUGUCAACUACUUAUAGAGCGAAUAUCUUUUUUAAAAACUAUAUAAAUCCUAUCAGUUUCUUAUAUUUCAAAAUUUACUUUUUUAUUUAUUUAUCGUGAACAUGUGCUGUUUUCGCAAUUAUAAAUUUGUAAAAGAAAACAACCGAUAAGCUAAUAUUAUAUUUUACCUCCAGUAAAUAAACAAACCAUUUAUCCUUGCUUUGUGGGUUUUGUUAUUAGUUCUUCAUUUGCCGAAUGUCUCAGAAUUGGAUUGAUCUUUUUUUUUUUGUAACUUAUAGUUUACCCUUGGUUAGGGCUAUGCUUUCCCUGUGUUUAGGACUUUGUUUUCGGAUGUUUAGGGAUCUUCGGACUCUUUAUAUUCCAUCAUCAAAUCUUAUCUUAUAAUCUUCCUAGUAUUUUAUAAUGAAUAAACUUCAAACAGAAUAAAUAAAAAUCAUAAAAAAAACGUUGUAGAGCUAAGAAAGACUCCUACACAAGUUAACAUUU